rnacentral:rRNA from 1 species
CCUACGGGAGGCAGCAGUGGGGGAUAUUGCACAAUGGGGGAAACCCUGAUGCAGCGACGCCGCGUGAGUGAAGAAGUAUUUCGGUAUGUAAAGCUCUAUCAGCAGGGAAGAAAAUGACAUGACCUGAUCAAGAAGCCCCGGCUAACUACGUGACAGCAGCCGCGGUAAUACGUAGGGGGCGAGCGUUAUCCGGAUUUACUGGGUGUAAAGGGAGCGUAGGCGGUUAUGUAAGUAUGGGGUGAAAGCCCGGGGCCCAACCCCGGGACUGGUUUGGAAACUGUGUAACUGGAGUACCGGAGAGGCAGGGGGAAUUCCUGGUGUAGCAGUGAAAUGCGUAGAUAUCAGGAGGAACACCGGCGGCGAAGGCGACCUGCUGGACUGAAACUGACGUUGAGGCUCGAAAGCGUGGGGAGCAAACAGGAUUAGAUACCCGAGUAGUC